rnacentral:rRNA from 1 species
CUACGGGAGGCAGCAGCUAAGAAUCUUGCGCAAUGGGCGAAAGCCUGACGCAGCAAUUCCGCGUGGGGGACGAAGGCCCUCGGGUCGUAAACCCCUUUUGCGAGGGAAGAAGUUCUGACGGUACCUCGCGAAUAAGACACGGCUAACUACGUGCCAGCAGCCGCGGUAAUACGUAGGUGUCGGGCGUUGUCCGGAUUUAUUGGGCGUAAAGAGCCCGCAGGCGGCUUGCCAAGUUCGAGGUGAAAUCUCCCGGCUCAACCGGGAGGGUGCCUCGAAAACUGGCAGGCUUGAGGCAGGGAGAGGGAUGUGGAAUUCCCGGUGUAGUGGUGAAAUGCGUAGAUAUCGGGAGGAACACCAGUGGCGAAGGCGGCGUCCUGGCCCUGUCCUGACGCUCAGGGGCGAAAGCGUGGGGAGCAAACCGGAUUAGAAACCCCUGUAGUCC